GACCCAGCAGACCUCUCACACACACAGCAGAGAGGAAGAUGGCUGCAGGACUUCUGUGUUGUUACAGGAUCAAACACCUGGUCUGUUUUUCAGCAGAGCUCGAGUCUCUGCAGCAGGACGGCACGCUGUGUAGGAGCUGAUGGAUGCACCACAGUCCUGCCAAACACACUGCUAAAUGUUCGUCCUCCUGCUGCUGCUGUUUGUAAGAGUCCAGCUCACAACCCUGACCCAGUUUCUAGGUUUCCAUGCCAGAGUAAACACGGCUGCUAAGCAACAGCUGAGCAGGAGCCUCGUGGGUGGAUCAUGUUUGGAGGCCUUCCCAACAUCUAAACAAGAUAAUGCAGCAGUGCUGCCCGAGGUCAUUCCCAGGUGAAACAGUCUUCUUAUCAUCCAGGAGGAAGGAGGAACCACAGAAGGAGAGAAUCUCACAUUGAAGCUGAACCUGUGACCAGACUGGACUCUCACAGACAAAUUCAUGUUGUCGUUUACAGCUGUCUGCCAGCAGUAACACACACUGUGAUGAGACUAUGAACCUCUUUCUGGUGUUGAUCUGUGUGCGUCCACAUGUUCUCCACUGUGUACAGUGUGUAAAUGUUGUGAGUGUAACCCUCCACCUGCAGUAAAGACUGCAGCUGCUGUAGCAGAGACAUCCUGUUUCCACUGAGUUUAGCUCUGAGUUACAUGUUGCUGGUGGACAGAUUUGGCAUCAGGAUCACAGCUGAAGAGUCCACAUUACUGUGGCCUUCUAAAGUAUGAAGCUGAGUACUUGCAGUC
ensembl:lncRNA